ACGGGGUGCACAGGCGCGAACACUUUACAAUGCGGGAAACCGCGAUAAGGGAACCCCGAGUGCCAGCAUCAAAUGUUGGCUGUCCAGAUGAUUAAAAAUCAUUUGUUAGCAAGGGCCGGGCAAGACCGGUGCCAGCCGCCGCGGUAACACCGGCGGCCCGAGUGGUAGCCGUUUUUAUUGGGUCUAAAGGGUCCGUAGCCGGCCUGAUAAGUCCUUUGGGAAAUCUGGCAGCUUAACUGUCAGGCUUCUAAGGGAUACUGUCAGGCUUGGGACCGGAAGAGGUAAGGGGUACUCCAGGGGUAGGAGUGAAAUCUUGUAAUCCCCUGGGGGACCAUCUGUGGCGAAGGCGCCUUACCAGAACGGGUCCGACGGUGAGGGACGAAAGCUAGGGGAGCAAACCGGAUUAGAUACCCGGGUAGUCCUAGCUGUAAACGAUGCUCGCUAGGUGUCAGACACGGUGCGACCGUGUUUGGUGCCGCAGGGAAGCCGUUAAGCGAGCCACCUGGAAGUACGUCGCAAGGC
rnacentral:rRNA from 1 species